rnacentral:rRNA from 1 species
GAUGAACGCUGACAGAAUGCUUAACACAUGCAAGUCAACUGUGGCGGACGGGUGAGUAACGCGUAAAGAACUUGCCUCACAGAUAGGGACAACCUUUGGAAACGAAUGCUAAUACCUGACACUGUGAGAGAGCUUUGCGUCCCAUGAGCUAGUUGGGGAGGUAACGGCUCACCAAGGCGAUGAUGGGUAGCCGGCCUGAGACGGUGAUCGGCCACAAGGGGACUGAGACACAGCCCUUACACCUACGGGAGGCAGCAGUGGGGAAGAUUGGACAAUGGACCAAAGUCUGAUCCAGCAAUUCUGUGUGCAGGAUGAAGUUUUCGGAAUGUAAAGUGCUUUCAGUUGGGAAGCGGUACCAACAGAAGAAGUGACGGCUAAAUACGUGCCAGCAGCCGCGGUAAUUC